CAAUACAACUGCAGUCAUCAACCAGCAACCACCUAAGAGUACUGCAGCAUGGGCUUUAAAGACGGGCACAGUGGCCACAAAGUCGGAUCCUGAUCACGCGUGACUGGGUCGCUGUGGGAGAGUCAACACUCCAGCAUGGUGAGUUCACGGGGACAGAAGACAUCGAACUGAAGUCUCAAAAGAUGUCCAGAUGUUGAUGUGGGCUCCUUACUUCAGUAAAGAAACAUGUGCAAACAUUAUUGAUGAUAUUGUAAGUACAGUAUAUACAGUAUACGGCCUUUAGUGGCCUCUUAAUAAAAAAAUAUGACUGUU